UACGUAGGGGGCAAGCGUUGUCCGGAUUCAUUGGGCGUAAAGAGCGUGUAGGCGGCCAGGUAAGUCGGUUGUGAAAACUGGAGGCUCAACCUUCAGAGGUCGACCGAAACCAUCUGGCUAGAGUCCGGGAGAGGAGAGUGGAAUUCCUGGUGUAGCGGUGAAAUGCGCAGAUAUCAGGAAGAACACCCGUGGCGAAAGCGGCUCUCUGGAACGGUACUGACGCUGAGACGCGAAAGCGUGGGGAGCGAACAGG
rnacentral:rRNA from 1 species